AUUGAACGCUGGCGGCAGGCCUAACACAUGCAAGUCGAACGGAGUGGCGGACGGGUGAGUAAUGUCUGGGAAACUGCCUGAUGGAGGGGGAUAACUACUGGACACGGUAGCUAAUACCGCAUACUAUCAGAUGAGCCUAGGUAGGAGUAGCUCGUGGGUGGGGUAAAGGCCUACCAAGGCGACGAUCCGUAACUGGUCUGAGAGGAUGAUCAGUCACAAUGGAACUGAGAAACGGUCGAGACUCCUACUGGGGGCAGCAGUGGGGAAUAUGGGACAAUGGGCGAAAGCUAGAUCCAGCCAUGCAGCGUGUGUGAAGAAGGUCUUCGGAUUGUAAAGCACUUUAAGUUGGGAGGCGUGACCAACAGAAUAAGCACCGGCUAACUUCGUGCCAGCAGCCGCGGUAAUUC
rnacentral:rRNA from 1 species